AAAAAAGCAGGGCUUUGUUGCCUCUGUGAACUGGGCUCUCGUAAACUUCAGGGAAACUAAGUGCAUGGUUAUUGGGUGAACCUCUGUAGUAAUUAUCACUGAAGGUUCAGUAAAUUGUGCUACAAUU